AACGAACGCUGGCGGCAUGCCUAACACAUGCAAGUCGAACGAGACCUUCGGGUCUAGUGGCGCACGGGUGCGUAACGCGUGGGAACCUGCCCUUAGGUUCGGAAUAACUCCCCGAAAGGGGUGCUAAUACCGGAUAAUGUCUUCGGACCAAAGAUUUAUCGCCUUUGGAUGGGCCCGCGUUGGAUUAGCUAGUUGGUAGGGUAAAAGCCUACCAAGGCGACGAUCCAUAGCUGGUCUGAGAGGAUGAUCAGCCACACUGGGACUGAGACACGGCCCAGACGCCAGAGGGGGGAGAGGGGGGAGAGAGUAGGAGAAAGGGCAAAGUCCGGAGCCAGAAUUGCAGUGUUGGUGAUAAAGGCGUGAGGGUUAUAAAUCGCUGUGACCCGGAAGGAAAAAGAAAGUAGGGGGAAAAUAAGCGGCGACGAGCUCCGUGCCAGAACCCGGGGUGAUAGAUAACGAUCACGGUCUGAAC
rnacentral:rRNA from 1 species